GAACUUCCGCCGCCGCGUUACCCACCCUAUAUUCCGACUCGUCCGGGCGACCGGACUAUGGCGAUAAACGCGCAGAGAUAGGCGGAUCGGACCCGGGUGCGAUGCCCGGCGGCUCCACCAGCCUUCGCGCUGAAGCGCUUCGGCUGGCUUACGCCCUCCGCCCUUGCCGGCGAAGGCUGUGCUCCGAAGCUCGAAGAGCGAAGGAGGACCUCAUUCAGUCCAUGAGGGGCCGAAAUAGGAUCGACGGACGUUGAAGGCUGCUGCUUUUGCUCGGGUGGUCCCGUCAUAGGCCAAACAGCAUAGUUGCGAAUGACAACAACGCUGAGGAAUUCGCUCUCGCUGCGUAAGCAGUGCGGGCAAUUCCGACCUUAAGUCCUACUGAGUAGCAUCACUAGGCGGGGCCCCCGGACGCCCGGCAACAGAAGUCCGGGACU
rnacentral:tmRNA from 1 species